UACGAAGGGAGCUAGCGUUGUUCGGAAUCACUGGGCGUAAAGCGCACGUAGGCGGAUUUGUAAGUCAGGGGUGAAAUCCCGGGGCUCAACCUCGGAACUGCCUUUGAUACUGCAAACCUCGAGUCCGGAAGAGGUGGGUGGAAUUCCUAGUGUAGAGGUGAAAUUCGUAGAUAUUAGGAAGAACACCGGUGGCGAAGGCGGCCCACUGGUCCGGUACUGACGCUGAGGUGCGAAAGCGUGGGGAGCAAACAGG
rnacentral:rRNA from 1 species